UACGUAGGGUGCGAGCGUUAAUCGGAAUUACUGGGCGUAAAGCGUGCGCAGGCGGUUCGUUGUGUCGGUGGUGAAAUCCCCGGGCCUAACCUGGGAACUGCAUUUGUGACUGCAUAGCUAGAGUCCGUCAGAGGGGGGUGGAAUUCCACGUGUAGCAGUGAAAUGCGUAGAGAUGUGGAGGAACACCGAUGGCGAAGGCAGCCCCCUGGGAUGAGACUGACGCUCAUGUACGAAAGCCAGGGGAGCAAACGGG
rnacentral:rRNA from 1 species